rnacentral:rRNA from 1 species
UACAGAGGGCCCGAGCGUUGUUCGGAUUUAUUGGGCGUAAAGGGUGCGUAGGCGGCGGAGUACGUUGGGUGUGAAAUCCCGGGGCUCAACCUCGGAAUGGCAUUCAAUACUGCUUCGCUAGAGUACUGGAGAGGAGGCUGGAAUUUACGGUGUAGCGGUGAAAUGCGUAGAUAUCGUAAGGAAGGCCGGUGGCGAAAGCGAGCCUCUGGACAGUUACUGACGCUGAUGCACGAAGGCCAGGGGAGCAAACGGG